CGAAAACUCCUCGGUCAGGGCUCUUGCCUUCGCCGGUAUUGGGUUGGGCAGUUACGGGCCUUCGGUCCUGCCCCCGACCUUAAAAUUGCUGUACGACCGCUGGCACCGUCUGGCAGGGUAUGUGGAGUGGAAUUUCCAAUCUUCCGCGCUCUUAAGACAACGCUUCCGCGGCAUUAAACCGUUUGCCUCCCUCCGUGGUGGCUGAA
rnacentral:misc_RNA from 1 species